rnacentral:sRNA from 12 species
GCGGGCUUGGAAUUAAGAUGCUGUGGGCCCGCAUCAGGCGCGUUCCAGCUUGCGAUCACGGGGAUCUCUACACGCAAGCAAGUAUAGCCAUCAGCACUUAAAGUAGGCCGCCGGGGACACUCACCUUAGCCCGCGCGCUCCGAAUUUUAUGUAGUGUUGAUGUCGCACGCUUUAGAGGGGUGGGCUGUGUUGAACGGCUCAGAAAGUGCGAACGCCGC